rnacentral:lncRNA from 1 species
GUAUUUACGUCCACAUUUCUAAAUAAUAAGCUUUUACUAAUAUCUUUAAUUUAUCAAUCAUGUAUGGGAUUUAUUAAUGAGGAUUUGAUCCUCCUUUCCAACUGACUAACCAAUAAAACUAUUGCAUAUUUUUGAUGAAUCAAUAAUUAAUAUUUACCCUGUUUUAACUAUGCAAACAUAGUUUGUUGAUAAGCCAAGUAAGUGAGCUAUAAUUGUUUCUCAUAUAACUUUUCUUUCUGGAGUUAACUGCACUCUUUUUUUCAUUUGCUUUGUUUUCUUGAUGUUUCUCUCUCAUUCUUUCCACAUCCUCUAACCUCACAAUAUAAUUUUCCACACAAACCUUUCCAGUUUCUCUUUUCUGUUUUUAAAUCUUGGAGCUCUUUGUCUUCUUGGUACAAUCUGGACUGAUCACUCUAGUUCUGCUUUGCAUCCAUUUUUCUUUGCUAUUUGCUUUGCCAUCCUAUAAUGGAUCUCUGUUUUCUCGAUACUGUGUCCCCAUAAUUCUGAAAAAGGGUAUAUAAUUUUUUGGUGAUUUUUCAUGUCUGAACAUGUCUUUUUUUUUUUGAGACAGUUUCGCUCUGUCACCGAGGCUGGAGUGCAGUGGUGCGAUCUCGGCUCACUGCAACCUCCGCUUCCCAAGUUCAAGCAAUUCUCAUGCCUGAGCCUCCCGAGUAGCUGGGACUACAGGCCUGCGCCAUCACACCCAGCUAAUUUUGCAUUUUUAGUAGAGAUGGGGUUUCGCCAUAUUGGCCAGGCUGGUCUCAAACUCCUGGCCUCAAGUGAUCCGCCUGCCUCCACCUCCCAAAGUGCUGGGAUUAUGGGCAUGAGCCAGUGUACCCGACCAGAACAUGUCUUUUUCGUAUUCUCAUACUCAAUUACUAGUUGGCCUGGGUACAGAACCCCAGGUUUGAUCAUUACUUUCCCUCAGAAUUUUG